rnacentral:misc_RNA from 1 species
AUGGAGAUUCCCAUGGGGACCCAGGGCUGCUUCUCAAAGAGCCUCCUGCUCUCAGCCCUUCCCUGUAACUUCCCACAGCCUCAAUCCUGGUCCUCUGGAUGCUCCAAGGCUCCCAGGCAGCUCUCUACAUCCAGAAGAUUCCAGAGCAGCCUCAAAAGAACCAGGACCUUCUCCUGUCAGUCCAGGGUGUCCCAGACACCUUCCAGGACUUCAACUGGUACCUGGGGGAGGAGACGUACGGAGGCACGAGGCUAUUUACCUACAUCCCUGGGAUACAACGGCCUCAGAGGGAUGGCAGUGCCAUGGGACAGCGAGACAUCGUGGGCUUCCCCAAUGGUUCCAUGCUGCUGCGCCGCGCCCAGCCUACAGACAGUGGCACCUACCAAGUAGCCAUUACCAUCAACUCUGAAUGGACUAUGAAGGCCAAGACUGAGGUCCAGGUAGCUGAAAAGAAUAAGGAGCUGCCCAGUACACACCUGCCCACCAACGCUGGGAUCCUGGCGGCCACCAUCAUUGGAUCUCUUGCUGCCGGGGCCCUUCUCAUCAGCUGCAUUGCCUAUCUCCUGGUGACAAGGAACUGGAGGGGCCAGAGCCACAGACUGCCUGCUCCGAGGGGCCAGGGAUCUCUGUCCAUCUUGUGCUCGGCUGUAUCCCCAGUGCCUUCAGUGACGCCCAGCACAUGGAUGGCGACCACAGAGAAGCCAGAAUUGGGCCCUGCUCAUGAUGCUGGUGACAACAACAUCUAUGAAGUGAUGCCCUCUCCAGUCCUCCUGGUGUCCCCCAUCAGUGACACAAGGUCCAUAAACCCAGCCCGGGAAAAGAGACUGGAAGGAAACAGCACAACAGAAGCAGCAUUUGUCUCCGGGGUGUGGAGGCUGCCCCUGCCCACACCCCCACACCUGCAGGCGGAGCCAGAGAACCACCAGUACCAGGACCUGCUAAACCCCGACCCUGCCCCCUACUGCCAGCUGGUGCCAACUUCCUGAUGGGUCCUGGGCCAGGCCAGCCAGGGAGAAGACAAGGCCCCAGCCCUCCUCUGGGAGCCUCACACCUGAGACCAGCAGGACAAGGCCAUUGGGGGCUGUGGGGCCGAUGAGGUGGACUCAGCCAAAGACUCAGCAGCACAUGGGGCAGGUGUCCUGGCAGGGGGACAGGAGACUGUAACAGGCCCAGGUCCUUGUGCAGCCCGUGAAUGCACGCCCGCCUUCGGUCUGUUCCUUCAAGCAAGCUGGCCUGGGCCAUGUGCCUGUGAAAGGCAGGCUCUGGCCCCUUUCCAUGCCAAAGUCCCCCAAGAUCUGGAUAUCUGGGGACAAGAUGGUGGCCUCAGGCCUGCCUCCCAGGCAGUUGGCUGGGCUCCCAACUGUCUGUCCUCAAUGCCCUACCCCAACUCCACUAGUGACCCUCAGAGUCUUCUCCCCUUAGGACAAGGCAGACACCCCACCAUGCGGGCCUCAGGUGGCAGAGAGGCCCAGCCUCACAGGCCUGUGGCCCCACACACCAGUCCCAGCAAGGUGACCACGGCUGCUGGACCCCUUCCCUGUUCAGGCAGGCCCAGCCCCUCUCAGAACCUGCUGCCAGCUGCUGGUCUUGGCCCCCACCCUGAAUCUUACUGAGUCCCUCUGGGCAGCAGCUCCCUUCUCCACCCCACCCCAGCACCCGUCCCAAAUGUGGCCUCAGCUUGUCCUCCCCUUCCCCAAACUAUGCAUUCAUUCAGCAAUAAAUGAGCCUUUGCUGUAUGCCAGACCCAGUUCUAGGCUCUUGCAGCCCUGGUAGAAAGCAAAACAAAAACUCCCGCUUUCCCAGAGGGUCACUUGGCAGGGGAAAGAAUCAGGAAAUAAAAUAAAUAAUGAA